GUCUUAAGGCAAACUCAGGGAAAAGAGAAAUGUAUCGUGGAGCAGAAAAGCAAUAGCUUGCUUGACCUUGAUUUUCAGUAUGAAUACAGAUCAUCACAGCAGGG
rnacentral:ncRNA from 1 species